rnacentral:rRNA from 1 species
CACCAGACUCCUACGGGAGGCAGCAGUGGGGAAUAUUGCACAAUGGGGGAAACCCUGAUGCAGCGACGCCGCGUGAGCGAAGAAGUAUUUCGGUAUGUAAAGCCCUAUCGGCAGGGAAGAAAUUGGACGGUACCUGACUAAGAAGCCCCGGCUAACUACGUGCCAGCAGCCGCGGGAAUACGUAGGGGGCAAGCGUUAUCCGGAUUCACUGGGUGUAAAGGGAGCGUAGACGGCCAUGCAAGCCUGGAGUGAAAGCCCGGGGCCCAACCCCGGGACUGCUCUGGGAACUGUGCGGCUGGAGUGCGGGAGGGGCAGGCGGAAUUCCUGGUGUAGCGGUGAAAUGCGUAGAUAUCAGGAGGAACACCGGCGGCGAAGGCGGCCUGCUGGACCGCGACUGACGUUGAGGCUCGAAAGCGUGGGGAGCAAACAGGAUUAGAUACCCCGGUA